rnacentral:lncRNA from 1 species
GUAUAUCCAUGGCACACCUAUACUGUUCAAAGUAUGUCUGCCUUAGAAAAUCUUGUUAACAGUGAUCCUCUUUUCUGUAUUUAGGUUCUCCAGGCAAAGUUUAAGGAUUUCAAGUCAAACCGUUGGGUGGUUGAGUCACCAUACAGCCUCCUCCUUUCUGUGCAGCAUUGGCCAAACUAACUUGCGUGACUCUGAACGGUGAAGCCUGAGUAUCUGGGAAGUACAUGACUGACAAUGUGCACUGCAAAGGGGGCUUUGGCUAAAGGACGUCCAUAAGAGCAAGAAAACAAUUUUAUUAUCAAAGAGUGGCAACAGAAAUGGACAAAGGUGAACAACUGCUGCAGCUAUUUGCAAUAGAAAAGAGCCAACAAAGCAGAACUAUGGGAACUGAUGGUUCAGAUUUACAAGUUGUGUUACUGCUCUGGGAGUAUGACAGUGACUUCAGCUUGCACACCACCCUGAUGGGGAGAAAACAGCCCAUCUUGACUUUCCA